UAUACAAAAUUAAUUUUUUAUUUUUUAUUUAACCCAUUAGACGGUAUUUGAGAAUAAUAAUGAAGAAAUUGCUUUUUGCUUUUGGGUAUUUGCAUUGCAGGUGUAUGUCUCUCCACUUGUCAUUCAAUAAUAGAUAAGACACGCCCUAUUUUUAUGGGGUUUUUAAUCCUUUUUAUAAAUUAAUAUAAAAUAAUUAUAAAAAUAUCAAUAAAAAUU
rnacentral:lncRNA from 1 species